GCCUGGGUGGUUCAGUCGGUUGAGCAUCUGACUUCGACUCAGGUCAUGAUCUCACAGUUUGUGGGUUCGAGCCCCGUGUCGGGCU
rnacentral:tRNA from 1 species